rnacentral:rRNA from 1 species
CUGGCGGCGUGCUUAACACAUGCAAGUCGAACGCGAAAGGGACUUCGGUCCUGAGUAAAGUGGCGCACGGGUGAGUAACGCGUAGAUAACCUGUCUUCAUGUCUGGAAUAAUACGCCGAAAGGGGUACUAAUACCGGAUAUUCCUGCUUUUCAUAAGUUAUGCAAGCAAAGGUGGCCUCUGCAUAUGCUACUGCAUGAAGAGGGGUCUGCGUACCAUUAGCUAGUAGGUGGGGUAAUGGCCUACCUAGGCGACGAUGGUUAGCGGGUCUGAGAGGAUGAUCCGCCACACUGGCACUGGAACACGGGCCAGACUCCUACGGGAGGCAGCAGUGAGGAAUAUUGCGCAAUGGGGGAAACCCUGACGCAGCGACGCCGCGUGAGUGAGGGAAAGGCCUUCGGGUCGUAAAGCUCUGUCAAGAGGAAAGAAGUGUACAAUGGCUAAUACCUGUUGUAUUUGACGGUACCUCUAAAGGAAGCACCGGCUAACUCCGUGCCAGCAGCAGC